UCGGUCAGCAUCUGAGGCGAACGCUGCGCGGUAACAGCCACCGUGAGCGUGGCGCGGAGCGGCGGCUGCUUGUCGGGGAUCUCUGUCAAACACGCCCUUAUCUCUCUUUCAUGGUAGUGUUUUUCUCCAUCAGUGCUCGUUUCUCUGGAGAAUAUUCAAGUUGAUACGUUUCCCUCUACCGGCCUGGAGUGGAAGUGCAGCAUCAAAACAGGAGGAGAGGCUCGCCCAGCAAAAACAAGUACAUUUAUAUGGAAAAAUGUUUUGGAACUUCAAUACACUGAGUCCUGACUGUCACUUAAAGAUGGAGAAUAGAACACAGUGUCUUCAUUUUCAUUGUUACUGUACGGAAAAAAAGACAUUUUUGCAGUUACACCAGUGACUGUAGCUUCUUCAAAUUGUUUCCUAAGGAUUCAGAGGGACAAGUCCCCCCCACCCAAAAAUUAACUUACUAAACAUCUCCUGAUUUAUUGUUUUUUCUAAUUUUUCUUAUUUCUUUCUUAUUUAUAGAAAAAAGGUGACUGGGAAUGGAUAAAAAUCUUUUGUUUUUCAAUGCCAAGCAUAAUCAUUCAGAGGGCAUGACCUCCAUGUCUGCAGCUGUUUUUUUUUUUUUUUUUUUUAAUGAAGUAAUGAUACUAAUGUGUGCAAAAAUGCACCUUAUAGUGAUAUAGAAUAUCUGCCCAAGCAGCACGGGCUGAAUAUUGCCGCUCAAUUGCAAUCCUGUGGAAGUCCUCCUUCAGAAGAGCCUCUCUCCCCAUGCUCACUCAGUAGCUGCCCACUACAAACAUGUGUUGCACCAGACAUCUCGGUGUAAGUAUUCAUUAGUUGUUUUAGCCUCCAGUCAUUUUCCACUUGUUUCCCAAAGCUGGAUCACAUUACACCACAGAGGAUUCCAGUCCUAGAAAUGCAAAGACCCACUCUGAUAAAAGAUUACCGAACCUA